AACGAACGCUGGCGGCAUGCCUAACACAUGCAAGUCGAACGAGACCUUCGGGUCUAGUGGCGCACGGGUGCGUAACGCGUGGGAACCUGCCCUUAGGUUCGGAAUAACUCCCCGAAAGGGGUGCUAAUACCGGAUAAUGUCUUCGGACCAAAGAUUUAUCGCCUUUGGAUGGGCCCGCGUUGGAUUAGCUAGUUGGUAGGGUAAAAGCCUACCAAGGCGAGGAUCCAUAGCUGGUCUGAGAGGAUGAUCAGCCACACUGGGACUGAGACACGGCCCAGACUCCGACGGGAGGCAGCAGUGGGGAAUAUUGGACAAUGGGCGAAAGCCUGAUCCAGCAAUGCCGCGUGAGUGAUGAAGGCCUUAGGGUUGUAAAGCUCUUUUACCCGGGAUGAUAAUGACAGUACCGGGAGAAUAAGCUCCGGCUAACUCCGUG
rnacentral:rRNA from 1 species